rnacentral:rRNA from 17 species
UUUGAUCAUGGCUCAGAUUGAACGCUGGCGGCAGGCUUAACACAUGCAAGUCGAGGGGAAACGACAUCGAAAGCUUGCUUUUGAUGGGCGUCGACCGGCGCACGGGUGAGUAACGCGUAUCCAACCUGCCCACCACUUGGGGAUAACCUUGCGAAAGUAAGACUAAUACCCAAUGAUAUCUCUAGAAGACAUCUGAAAGAGAUUAAAGAUUUAUCGGUGAUGGAUGGGGAUGCGUCUGAUUAGCUUGUUGGCGGGGUAACGGCCCACCAAGGCAACGAUCAGUAGGGGUUCUGAGAGGAAGGUCCCCCACAUUGGAACUGAGACACGGUCCAAACUCCUACGGGAGGCAGCAGUGAGGAAUAUUGGUCAAUGGACGAGAGUCUGAACCAGCCAAGUAGCGUGCAGGAAGACGGCCCUAUGGGUUGUAAACUGCUUUUAUAAGGGAAUAAAGUGAGUCUCGUGAGACUUUUUGCAUGUACCUUAUGAAUAAGGACCGGCUAAUUCCGUGCCAGCAGCCGCGGUAAUACGGAAGGUCCGGGCGUUAUCCGGAUUUAUUGGGUUUAAAGGGAGCGUAGGCCGGAGAUUAAGCGUGUUGUGAAAUGUAGACGCUCAACGUCUGCACUGCAGCGCGAACUGGUUUCCUUGAGUACGCACAAAGUGGGCGGAAUUCGUGGUGUAGCGGUGAAAUGCUUAGAUAUCACGAAGAACUCCGAUUGCGAAGGCAGCUCACUGGAGCGCAACUGACGCUGAAGCUCGAAAGUGCGGGUAUCGAGCAGGAUUAGAUACCCUGGUAGUC